rnacentral:lncRNA from 1 species
CGGUGAGUCAGCGUAACGUCUGAUGCUGCAUUCAGGUCACGUGGGAAAAUGCUGCGACCACAUCCAGGGCUCAGUCAGGUGUUUUUUACCUGUGUCCCUCGGCUGAUGUGUGGUGGGUUUCUUGAAAGAACACUGUGAGAAAUAAAAUCCAGUUUUGUUUCUUAGUGCUGCCCCCUGCUGGUACCCUGUGCUAUUAUUACACAGACACUGGCACACACUGACACACAUACACACACACACUGACACAGACACACACAGACACACACACACAGACACACACACACACUGACACAAACUAAAACACACACCGACACUGUGACUGACUCACAGGGCGGCUGCUGUGGCAGAACCGGUGCUGCUGAUUGGCUGAGCAACACCUACAUCCAGAGCCUGAACCUGACGAGUCCAGACGUGCUUCCGUGUUCCUGCUUUCACUCGUUUCAGCGCAGCGUCAACUCUUCCUGGUGCUCCGAGCUGCUGAACCUCACUCUGAUUGGCCAAGGGAGCGGCACGAGCUCGCUCCUGAGGGGGCGCCGGCGGCUCUAAACCUGCUGUGUUUCAUAUCGCUGGUGUGAUGUGAUGUUUUACCCAUGAUGCUGCUGGGUUUGUGGUUUUCAGGGCUGCAGUCAGACGUUCAGUGAUUGGCUGCAGGAGAACUCCCUGACCAUCAUCGCCAUGGACGUCGCCCUGCAGUUACUGCAGGUGGCGCUGUUCGUCAUGGCGGUGUAUCUGUACCGUGCAUUUGGAGAAGGCCGCGCUCUGAAACGGACCGAUCUGCUGGCUGGCAGAGACCACGCCCCCACCGAUGACCUGGGGGAGCUGAACUACGCCUGCAAUGACCAGGUUGGAGCUUACAUAGACCCCCAUCACCUGCCUUAUCACCACGAUGACCACGGCCAGGUGUAUGUGGACCAAGUGCAGAGCUACUAACCUGCUACAAACAUUAUAGGCUCAGGUUCUGGUUCUGGAAACAUGAGCCUCCAACCAGCCUGCGGUCUUAUACCCUCUGUUAUCCAACAGACACAGCUUCUCAGAAUACACACACACAUCUUAGAGCAGGCACAAGCACAAUCAUAUUUCACAGUAACAUAUCAUGGAUGAGAUCAUCGGAGUGACAUCACAUAUACGUCUAUAGUAAGACAUCUAUAAACACACCAACACCUGUGUGGAAAACAACGAACGAUGGCAAAAACACAGCUAACACUACACAACCAAUACUAAAACAACACAACUGGGGAGAUGACGUACACAGGCAGGCUAAGUCUAUACGUGUGAAGCUUGAAAUUUGUAGGAGGAGAG